GCCUGCCAAAGAGACCUAUUCUGAUAUAGCUGACAGUUGAUUUUAUUAAGUAUUUGCACAGUCUCAAGCCUCUUUCUCCCGCUCUCUAUGCAUUAACCUGUGGAACAAGGUUACCAGUCCAAGGUCAUCUCACUCUGCGUGCCAAGGCCGGGAUUCGAACUCGCGGAAAACCGUAAGCAGCUCUUGUCCGCGCAGGCGCCGUAACCACCUACUCCAUGGAGCGUUCUGAGCAUCUCCUCUCACCAGGGACUAUUUUAAUACCCGAGAAAGAGAACGCGGAGGGGAACAAGGUGAACUUCCUCCUCCUCCUCUGCCUAGAAAGUCUACC